rnacentral:rRNA from 1 species
UAAAACCAGCACCUCAAGUGGUCAGGAUGAUUAUUGGGCCUAAAGCAUCCGUAGCCGGCUCUGUAAGUUUUCGGUUAAAUCUGUACGCUCAACGUACAGGCUGCCGGGAAUACUGCAGAACUAGGGAGUGGGAGAGGUAGACGGUACUCGGUAGGAAGUGGUAAAAUGCUUUGAUCUAUCGAUGACCACCUGUGGCGAAGGCGGUCUACCAGAACACGUCCGACGGUGAGGGAUGAAAGCUGGGGGAGCAAACCGGAUUAGACACCCGGGUAGUCCCAGCUGUAAACUAUGCAAACUCAGUGAUGCAUUGGCUUGUGGCCAAUGCAGUGCUGCAGGGAAGCCGUUAAGUUUGCCGCCUGGGAAGUACGUACGCAAGUAUG